UGUUGUUGUAACUAAAGUCGGAUUCAUUACAUUUCAGGAGUGAGCAGCGUCUACGACGAUCAUGUCUCACACGAUCUUACAGAGGAGGGGUCGUUAUCCCAAGGUGAGACCGGAAGGAACACUGAAGACGCAGGGAUCGUGGCAAGCUCAGGAUCUGUCCGUGCCUUCCCCGGUGGCCAGUCCGACAACGACUAUACAAUCAUCGGCUCAGCAUUCAGUGGCCUCGCAGCCCGAAGUCAGUUCCGUCCAUGAGUACCAGCAGCAACAGCAGCAGGUGCAACCACAGUACAACAACAGCAACAAUAUGAGUCCUUGUUUGUACAGCAACAACAACAAUAACAAUCCGAAUGUGAUUAAUCAUAACAGCAGCUCGAACAACAACAGCAAUACGACUGGCAACAGUAACCAUUAUUUGUACCAGACCAUGAGUGUGAACCACAAUAACAACAACACGAUAGCUUCGGCGACAGCAUCAGCUGCACAAAUGUACAGUAGCGGCGUCACUACCCACGAGCUGAGUAGUGACGUAGGCCAGAACAAUGGCAAUAGACAAGCGUCCACUGCUACAAUGAACGAUGAGUGGGAAGCCUGGGAAGAACAGGGCGAAGGUUGGAAAUGGGAUGAUACAGCUGGUGGAGACGCUUUCGGAAGAAACCUCAACAAUUCCGCUGGUGGCGAUCGUCACGCUUCGCUAGCACAGAACCAUCACCAACAACAGCAGCAUCAAGCGAAUAUGUCUUCUAUACAACAGAGUCAACUAUUGCAUAAUCAGUCUUCUGCAGCCGGAUACAGCCAGCAUCAUCACCAACUCUAUCAGAGCAAUUUUCAAAAUUCACAGCAACUACAGCAGUAUUCCCUACAACACGAAUACCAGCGUCAAAAUGUUUCGCAGCGUCAAACGCCUUCAUCACUGGAGGAACAUGAUCAUCCGCAGCAGCAACAAAUGUCGUAUGACAAUAACAUUCCCCUUCUUGGCGAUACGUUCAAUCAAAACUCUCAGGACGGCAAUUGGAACGACUGGGGAGACCAAGGCGGCUGGGGCAGUUGGGGUAACUCGGGAAGCAACCGGGCUACGCCACUAUCACAAGCGAACGCCCAGCUUCAACAUGAACAGCAGCCACAAUCAGGGGCAAGUAAUUACUACGAACAACAGCCCCAGCAACAACAGUAUUCCCAACAGUCCCAUCAACCACAUCUGAUCGGCCCUAGCUCUUACGUUCCCCCAACAACGAGCAGCUAUGGCCAAAACCAAACUCGGCCAGAAACACAGCAACAGCAGCAGCAUUCCGGGUUCGUUCAAAAUAGCGGAACCUGCGAUGUGUACCAGCAGCAACUAAACCAAUCACAGGACUACGCUUCGCAUGUGCAUGGACAGUCCUACUCUACUCAAAAUAGCUCUAUAGUGGGGCCACAGUAUUCCCAGAGCAGUGUCCAUGGUGGGCAAUAUUCUCAAAGCAGUACUCCUGGUGUGCAAUAUUCUCCGAGUGGCGCUCCUGGAGCGGUAGCGUAUUCUCAAACGAGUACCCCAGAACUUCAGUAUCCACAAAGUAGCACACCCCAUCCUCCUCAGCAGUGUACCGUGACUGACAGCGUUGUUGUUCAAAAUGAACCGCAACAACAACAACAGCAGCAGCAGUACGCACUACAGGCAGCGGAAUCGCAUCAAUAUCCUGUAAAGCAAAGUGGCGAUACGACCAUGCCGCCUAUAGCCGAACGCCGUGCAUCGGAAAGCAGUAUAGCUGCAUCGGUGACUAGCUCCCAUGAACAGCAACAGCAACAAAAGCAGCAGCAGCAGCAAGAAAUUCCCAGCUUCACACAAGAACCGUAUAGCCCCCAAAUAAUUCAAGACGUGCAGUCUUACCAGGGCAAUAGCAAAGAUCAGACCACUUCAUACAGUCAGGAGCAAUCGGAACGACAUCUACUGCAGCAAAAGUAUCAAUCUACGACGCAUUUGCCGCAGCAGGAAUACAAUGUGUAUGAAGCGUGUAUCCAAACUUUACAGGUAAUCACUAACGAGGGGCAACAGAGUACUAAUGCCUCGUUUUCAGUAUCAGGAAGAACAGGUGAUGCGUCAGCCGAAAUGGAGAACAUCCCGCUUACACAGACUGAUAAAACGUUAGAAUCCUCCAACAAAGGUGGGCCGUCAGAUUUCGAGCUGGAGGACGAUUUUCGUGCUAUGAGUUACAAACAGGUUGAAGAUCAUAAUAGCAAUUACGUCAACGAGUCUAUAUCUGAGGAGUGGGACACGCUCGAGGACAAACUAGAAGCACUUUCGAUAAGAGAAAACGAACCUGGGGUAAGCAAUGUUCCACAACCGCAAUCGGCUGCGGUCACGACGGCAGUUGACCAACAGCAAGCAUCCUUGGAAGAUGGAAGCCGGGUAUCAUCGGAAGAACAAAACAGUGUGACCGAUAAGGACGUUGCAUCGGGAACGUUGGCUGGAGGUCUCCCUUCGAUGAGUGAGAUACUUCAAGCUAAGCACAAUAUUCACCAUCAGGAAGAACAAAAAACGGAUCCGUCGGAAGAGCCUCACAUUGAUCACCAAGGAGCUACUAAUGCACGCGAUAAUUUCAUUCCGGCGGAGGCUCAUGACUUCUCAGUAUCUGGACAGCAUUCUUCUGCAGACUUACUUUCACAUGCUCCUAAUGAGUUCCCAGAAAUGAACGUUGUACACAGAUCCGAUGCAGCUGGUGGCGAUGAGAGAACUACUUACUUUGCGGGUAUCGAAUUCGUUAGGCCUCUAUCCGAUGGGGCACCUGCAGAACCGCCAGCCUUCCAGCGAAUGCCUUACCUUGGGGGCCCGUCGUCACACACGGCGUCAGCAAUGACCAUCGGAGGAUCCGAAACGCAAGCUAUUUCCGAAGUAGGAAAUUCGCGGGCAACUUCGGAGCCAGAAUCGCGUGAACCUUCAGUCGUUCGUGAGGUCAUUGGACAGCGAGCGUCGGCCGAGAGAAGCGCGCCAGCCGGAAGUUUGAGUGUUGCAGAGGUGCGGCAAAGUCCACUAGGGGGCGAAGGAGCAGAUAUGGGCGAUCAACGGGACAACAUUAUGACUUCAGUCAACCGACAGACGAACCUAACCCCUAAUGUAAGUGCAAGAGAUGACGUGGUAGGAGCUCGAAGAAUUCAGACUGAAAAUCAAUCAGAUCAAGAGGAGGUCGACACUACGCGGGGUCUUGAGAGGACUGAGCCAUCCGGAUCGGGGCAGCCAUCGCUAAGCGAAAUGCAGGCCAGUAGAGCCGCAGAAGCUGUGCGAGACGAGAGCCGGCCACGAAGCCGCCGAUCGGGAAGGGAAUCCACCUCAUCAUCAGACGAUAGCGAGGUGGCUGAACACAACCGUGAGGUGUUACAACAAAAAGUCAAGGCUCGGGAACGGGAGCUGCCUUCACGGAUCAGAGACAUUUCUUCGUGCAGACGGAGGGACCAUCGCGACAUGCGCCGAGAUGACUGGGAUAGAGAGGACCGUGAACGAGAGCGAGAGCAUGAAAGACGCAAAGAAAUUGCAUAUUACUCCGACGAAAGCGAAGUUCGCCGACAUCGAAAACACCGUGAGAGUGAGCGACGAGGCCGUGAAAGCGAGGGAGAGCGGAAUCGCCGAAAGUAUGCUAGCGAUCGAGAUUAUGACGAGGAUUACGAUCCCUAUUAUGACGCAAGGAAUCGACGUCGCGGUGACGAGCGACGUCGUCGAGACUCGGACGAAACGGAAUAUUCGGAGUUUUCGAGCGUAAAUCCAGGCAAAUACGCAAGUAGUACACACAGUGGGAAGUACCGAAGCGAGGAUGAGGAAUCAGCAAGGUACCGAAGCCGAAAGAGCGGCGAUUCUAGACGUAGGAAUGAUCGAGGUUACACCGAAGACGAGACCGAUCUUGACUAUCGCAGAAGAACCGGCGGUGGCCGAAGGGGCUGCAAUGAACUUAGAGACUAUUAUCGGCGAGACGGCAGACGACUCGACCAUGGCAGGGACUAUGGUGGCGGUUACGACUCGCGUCCCCUUAGCCGCGGUUCAUCCAUAACGGAAAGCUUCGUCAGCUCGCAUAUGGUGUCCGAUAGCGAGCUGUCGAUUAUUGAUCAUCGUUAUAACCGUAACCGAAGGGACGAUCAUUAUGAUCGCCAUCCCGCCAUGGGCCGGGUAGCCGGUCAUUUAGGCCGCGGCGGCCCAGGAACGGGAUAUCAGGCAGCCAAUGCUCACAAGCUUGCGCAUCUCUCGGCUAUCGGCGGACGAAACAUUACGAAUCAGGGCAUGGCGUCUAUGAUGAAUACGUCGAUGAAUCUGUCGACUAGCCAGCAACUAUUACACGCGGCUUCGGCUGGUGGAACACACGCAACGAUGGGCGGUGCCAGUAUGCUUAGUGCUCUAACGAACGGCCAAGACCUUGAAUACGUAAAGCAAGCGUACGAGACCGAUCCAGAUUAUCGCUACGUGCUAGACGACUACUUCGCGAGGUGCGCAGACCAGGGCUAUGAUAUGAGGGAAGUUCAGGCGUACAUCUGUGGCGGUGGCGUCGUCAAAGCCACUCGGGGACAAGUCCAGCUAAACGACAGCCUGGCAUCAAGCUCUUUUGGCGAUACCACCCGCCUCGACGGCAAUCUACUAAUGACAGCAGAACCAGCGAUUCCCCAGGAGUUAAAAAAAUUCACUAGGCCACAUGUCUUUGCUCGUUUUGUGUCGUUGACCACGCUGGUUAAAAUUCAUCCGUCGACGCUAGCAGUUGAUAGUAAACCGCCGCAGUUGGAGCUACAUGACCUGAAGCUGAUUCUGGAAGGAGAAUCGGACAGUAAGGAAUUGGGGAAAUUUCCAGGCCCCCUGGUCCGUGCCGAAACUCACAAGAACCAUGUGAUCCACUUUUGCAAUCAACGUAUCAACGCCGUUCGAAGGAACAAGCUGCCCAUGCUUAAUGGUCAGUUUAUAGUAGACCGUGAAUCCUACGUUCUUUUAUGGGAAUUACUUGUGCUACUUUUGCGUCAAAAUGGCCAUGUGACAGGCACGGAUAUUGCGGAACUUCUACUCAAGGAUGCCCCUUACGUGGACCCAGCAUCCGUUCAGCGGCUGGCAGAGGAAGACAUGUCGCAGGUGGAGAAUAGCGACGAAGCUGCCAAUUCUGAUGCUAGUCAGACGACCCUGGAGAGUACAAGGUUGAAUCGUCGUGCAUUGCAACAGAGACGCAGCGGUGGUCUAAGUCCCGAACAGGCGUUAGGCAAGUUCCGUGAGCUUCUGCUGUUUGGUCAUCGGCGUGAGGCGGUUGAGCAUGCCGUACGCUACGAGCUGUGGGGUCAUGCUUUCUGUCUGGCAUCGAAACUUGACAUGAAAAUGUACACCCAUGUACAUACGAAAUUCUAUCAGUCGAUGGCUGGUAACGAUCCCCUGCAAACAGUCUAUCAACUUUACUCGGGACGUCAGCCAUCGUCGGUGAGUUGCGUCAGCGACAUCGCUUGGGGUGAUUGGCGACCUCACCUUGCUAUGAUCCUUUCGAAUCCGUCGAUAAAGCCAGAAAAUGACGCGCGCUCAAUUAUAAUGAUGGGUGACGUGCUCCUUUCACGUGGCUGUCUUUGUGCCGCACACUUCUGUUAUCUAAUGGCACAAGUAGACUUUGGCGAAUUCUGCGAUAAAUCGUGCAAGCUCGUUCUGCUUGGCUCAAGCCAUUUGCAGACGAAUUUUAGCUCGUUCGCAACAAACGAAGCGAUCAUGUGCACGGAAAUAUAUGAGUACGCUCAGUCUCUUAGCAAUCCCGGCUACGCUCUACCUUCGCUGGCUUCUUAUAAGUUCCUUCACGCGAAACGUCUUAUCGCGCUGGGCUUCGUUCAGGAAGCAUUAGCGUACUGCGAACGUCUGGCACAUGACUUUGUUCAUCAUCCUACCGCUUACAAACCGCAACUCGUACAUGAGGUGUACAGUCUUGGCUCAAAGCUCAAAUUCAACGAUGUUCACUACAGUCAGGGAUCAGGGGAAUAUGAGGAGUUAGGUGAUCCCGAAUGGUUGCUUCGACUUGAACAACUCUGCAAUGCGAUCCGUAACGGGGACGUUUUUGAAGCAUCGACACCCGCCCAUUCGCAAUCGGAUCGGACCCAUGUUGCAGCCGAACCACAAGGCGGUACCGGUCUCUCACUGGGCGGCACUGGAGUGGCGGGACUACCCGGGGAAAAAGCGGAUAUAACAGCUCAGCAGGCCCAUUAUAACAACCCAGCAUACAAUAAUAAUAAUCUUUAUGGGGCUCAAUACCAGGACCACCUAGCAUCUCAGCAGCAGCAACAUUCUCAUUCACAGCUGUACAGAACACAGCAGGCUCAGACAACAUCAUCGACGAUUUCUGGCAGCUAUCAAACUCAUUCUUACGAGACUUCGGCGCUCAACGCGAAGGCGGUCGAAAGCCACACUGAAGUGAAGCAGCUGCCCACAGAGGUUGAUGGUGCCGGAAGCGUUGCUCACGCGCAACAGCCGCAGCUGUAUGACUAUUACCAGCAGGCGCAAGGGACUCAACAACUGCAGCAUCGAACAGCGUUGCCGUAUUCAAGAAACGGCUCUGUAGAUCACGACAUAGGCACGGAAGGGUUUACCGAAGGAUAUCCUGCCUCUCCACAAACCUGUGGAUACGACCAGUCGCAGCCUGCGCCAGUGCAGCAGGUGCCAACAGUGCCGUCAAGCCAAUCCAUGCAUCAACCUGCGGCAGGUCCGGACUGUUACAACAACCAAAGUACCAAGCAUCGACCCCGUAUUGACUCCUCGUCUAGUUCGAUAACGAACACUUCAAUUACCACAUCUGGGGACCCAACUGACUCACGAAGAGACAGUGAGGUGAGGCAGCAGCAGCAGCUUCCUCAGAUAGCGAGCCCGGGGUCUCUCCAGGCGGCUGCGACCCACGGUCAUAAAGCACCACUUGCUCACGACGGGGCAGCUCCCGUACAGCAGCAACAGUCAACGAAGAAGUCAACUCCAACUUCACAGGCGGGCCGCAGCUGGCUGGGAGGGAUUUUCGGGAAAUUCCUUCCCCGAGGACCAAAUCAGAUGAUUCUACCAGAAGACAAGGACCAGUCGAUCAUCUGGGAUCCCGACCAAAAGCGCUGGGUUGAUAAGAACGCUGAUUCCACGUCGUCGGACGCUACACCCAUGGCGCCUCCUAGCGAUGCCAUCCUCGGCGCAGGCCCAUCUAUUGUUCCGAAGAUUCCCACGGGAGUUCCUGGAGCGCCAGCCGCGCAACAGUCGCAGCAGCAACAGAUAAUGCAAACUCCAAUUCAGCAAGGAGGAGAUGUCCAUGCCGCCCAAUCCGUGCCUCUAAUGAGUCCCCAGGGGCAGAACAUGUUAGCACAGCCAAAUGGCGCUUUGAACAAAUACCAGCGAAGCAAGGGCAAACCGCGGUACGUGGAUGUUCUGAAGCAAAGCAGCCAAACGGUUUCUCCGGACAUUCAGAUGUCGCCUCCCUCGACAAACCCCAUGGUGUCGAUGAACGCUGGCGGGCCUCCAAGUGUGCCGAACUUUUUCGUGCCCGCAGCACCAUCUGGCCCUCAAGCAGAACCAUUCGACCUAAUGAGCCAUCGAGCUGACUACGAAGAUUACGGCGGCUCUGCUGGAGCUGGCGGAAUUCAUGCUAAUUCCCAACAACAACCGGCAAACUGAGCACAAACACACAAAGGUUCGAGGAGAUAGAAGCAUUGGACUCGGCAAACAUAACGUUUCGUGGUCUACUCGAUCAGCUAGCGAAACAAAGACUAAGACAAGGCUGUCUAGAAACCUUUUCUACACGAUUCCACGGAUAUAACACAUUUAGAUGAUCCGGAACCCCUCCGAAUGAAGCGUCUCGCAGCGACAGAUAGGAUGAACGCAGUUGGACACCCGAAGUGUGAUGAUUGAUGAUGAUCAUGAUAACGUUUCGUAGAUUAUAGAUGAUCUACGAAAUGUUUUCAUAACGAGCUGCAUCCGUCAACAAUAUAUAUAUAUCGUAGGUAUAUCAAAAUAAUUGUGAAUGGUAUAUAGGAUAUUUCUACAUAUUCGUACCGCAGCAUUGAUGAAUGUAUUGUCAAGUAGAAAUAAAAUUAUUUUCGAACAAAAAAAAAAGCACAACAGAAAGCAAACAAUAACAACGAUAACGCACCGGUGCAAGCAAGCAGUACGUGAACGGAACUAGUAAAGUUAUCGUAAGGGGCAUAAACAAUGCGAAUAGCGAGAUACCUCGUGUGCGGAGCGAUUUAAAUUCGGUACUGAUUCUUUAUAUGGUUAUCUACUGAUCUAAGACAGGGCCACUACUAGCAAGACAAGAUUGAAGUGGGUGAUGUUUCGAGCUAGCGAUUAUUCGACGAAUAGAAAAACGGAAAAGACUAUUAUGCCAUUCACUUCAAUCACCUCGCGCUGUAGAAUAUAAUUACUAUGAAAAUCUAGCGUCAAACUAGAAAGAUCGUACUUUUGAGCAAAAUGAAAAGUUCGUAACACACAAAAUAGACCAACAGAACAAGCCUAAUAUAACAACACAGCGAUGCUGAAAAAGGAUUUAUUUGUCGGCAAAUGUGGAGAUUCACACCAACUGUAAGCGAAACGGCGGAAUAGCGGGGAGCAUCAAGAUAACGGGACCAAUAUGUUAAGCUAGAGGGCCCGUGCACUUGGGCAAAGAGUACCAUCAACGUACAGAUGAUUAUAUCAUCGUCAACGUGGGAAGGCGUUUCGGAAGUGUCUUACUUGUGGGAAUAAAUAGCGCGAAUCGAACGCGCCGUAAUGUAUUCCGCAAGCGUUGUCCGUUCGUUGUCUGAUGCCUUUCUCUGCACUGAAGAAUGUCGAACUCAAUUACGUUGAACUUGACAAUUUAAAUGAGAUCCACCUGCAAAAAAUGACUUGGUGCGACGGCGUAGUCAACUUACACACCGGGCGUACAGAUAAAACACAGAAAAAAAAGCGAAUAUUUUAAAAGUGGAAAUAAAACACCACAAUGUACUAAUAUAA